rnacentral:rRNA from 1 species
UCCGGUUGAUCCUGCCGGACCUGACUGCUAUCGGAUUGAUACUAAGCCAUGCGAGUCAUUGUAGCAAUACAAGGCAGACGGCUCAGUAACGCGUAGUCAACCUACCCUAUGGACGGAGAUAACCCCGGGAAACUGAGAAUAAUACCCGAUAGAACAUUAUACCUGGAAUGGUUUAUGUUUCAAAUAAUUUAUUGCCGUAGGAUGGGACUGCGGCCUAUCAGUUUGUUGGUGAGGUAAUGGCCCACCAAGACUAUUACAGGUACGGGCUCUGAGAGGAGUAGCCCGGAGAUGGGUACUGAGACACGGACCCAGGCCCUAUGGGGCGCAGCAGGCGAGAAAACUUUGCAAUGUGCGAAAGCACGACAAGGUUAAUCCGAGUGGUUUCUGCUAAAGGAACCUUUUGCCAGUCCUAGAAACACUAGUGAAUAAGGGGUGGGCAAGUUCUGGUGUCAGCCGCCGCGGUAAAACCAGCACCUCAAGUGGUCAGGAUGAUUAUUGGGCCUAAAGCAUCCGUAGCCUGCUUUGCCAGUUUUCGGUUAAAUCCAUACGCUUAACGUAUGGGCUGCCGGAAAUACUACAAAGCUAGGGAGUGGGAGAGGUAGACGGUACUCGGGAGGAAGUGGUAAAAUGCUUUGAUCUCUCGAUGACCACCUGUGGCGAAGGCGGUCUACCAGAACACGUCCGACGGUGAGGGAUGAAAGCUGGGGGAGCAAACCGGAUUAGAUACCCGGGUAGUCCCAGCUGUAAACUAUGCAAACUCGGUGAUGCAUUGGCUUGAUGCCAAUGCAGUGCCGCAGGGAAGCCGUUAAGUUUGCCGCCUGGGAAGUACGUACGCAAGUAUGAAACUUAAAGGAAUUGGCGGGGGAGCACCACAAGGGGUGAAGCCUGCGGUUCAAUUGGAUUCAACGCCGGA